rnacentral:rRNA from 1 species
UGGAACCCAGGUGCUAAUACCGAAUAAAAGUUAGUGUCGNNCAGACACAAAGUUAAAAGGCGUUUCGGCGUCACCUAGAGAUGGAUCCGCGGUGCAUUAGUUAGUUGGUGGGGUAAAGGCCUACCAAGACAAUGAUGCAUAGCCGAGUUGAGAGACUGAUCGCCCACAUUGGGAGUGAGACACGGCCCAAACUCCUACGGGAGGCUGCAGUAGGGAAUCUUCCACAAUGGGCGAAAGCCUGAUGGAGCAACGCCGCGUGUGUGAAGAAGGCUUUCGGGUCGUAAAGCUCUGUUGUAUGGGAAGAACAGCUAGAAUAGGAAAUGAUUUUAGUUUGACGGUACCAUACCAGAAAGGGACGGCUAAC